rnacentral:rRNA from 1 species
GCAAGGAGGAAGGCUUUUGGGUUGUAAACCUCUUUUAUCANGGAAGAAUCGAUGACGGUACCUGAUGAAUCAGCAUCGGCUAACUCCGUGCCAGCAGCCGCGGUAAUACGGAGGAUGCAAGCGUUAUCCGGAAUUAUUGGGCGUAAAGCGUCCGUAGGUGGUUUAUCAAGUCUGCUGCCAAAGCGUGCGGCUUAACCGCAUAAGGGCAGUGGAAACUGAUGAACUAGAGUGCGAUAGGGGUAACAGGAAUUCCCAGUGUAGCGGUGAAAUGCGUAGAUAUUGGGAAGAACACCAGCGGCGAAAGCGUGUUACUGGGUCUGCACUGACACUGAGGGACGAAAGCUAGGGGAGCGAAAGGGAUUAGAUACCCCUGUAGUCCUAGCCGUAAACGAUGACAACUAGGCGUGGUUCGUUCGACCCGAGCCGUGCCGUAGCCAACGCGUUAAGUUGUCCGCCUGGGGAGUACGCACGCAAGUGUGUAACUCAAAGGAAUUGACGGGGGCCCGCACAAGCGGUGGAGUAUGUGGUUUUAUUCGAUGCAACGCGAAGAACCUUACCAAGGCUUGACAUCCUCGGAACCCUGAUGAAAGUUAGGGGUGCCUUCGGGAGCUGAGAGACAGGUGGUGCAUGGCUGUCGUCAGCUCCGUGUCGUGAGAUGUUGGGUUAAGUCCCGCAACGAGCGCAACCCACGUUUUUAGUUGCCAGCAUUCAGUUGGGCACUCUAGAGAGACUGCCGGUGACAAACCGGAGGAAGGUGUGGAUGACGUCAAGUCAGCAUGCCCCAUACGCCUUGGGCUACACACGUACUACAAUGCUUCGGACAAAGAGCAGCCAGCCAGCGAUGGUGAGCCAAUCUUAUAAACCGGCGCUCAGUUCAGAUUGCAGGCUGCAACUCGCCUGCAUGAAGGCGGAAUCGCUAGUAAUCGCAGGUCAGCAUACUNCGGUGAAUACGUUCCCGGGCCUUGUACACACCGCCCGUC